rnacentral:rRNA from 1 species
UACGAGCGGCCCAAACGUUAUUCGGAAUUACUGGGCUUAAAGAGUUCGUAGGCGGCGCAGAAAGUAGGGUGUGAAAGCCCUCGGCUCAACCGAGGAAUUGCGCCCUAAACUACUGUGCUUGAGGAACCUAGAGGUGAGCGGAACUGAUGGUGGAGCGGUGAAAUGCGUUGAUAUCAUCAGGAACACCGGAGGCGAAGGCGGCUCACUGGGGGUUAUCUGACGCUGAGGAACGAAAGCCAGGGGAGCGAACGGG